rnacentral:rRNA from 1 species
GACAGAGGCCUCAAGCGUUAGGCGGAAUCACUGGGCUUAAAGCGUGUGUAGGCGGAUCGUUAAGUACCUUGUGAAAUCCCACGGCUCACCCGUGGAACUGCUGGGUAUACUGGCGGUCUUGGGCCAACUAGGGGCAGCUGGAACAAGCGGUGGAGCGGUGAAAUGCGUAGAGAUGUGGAGGAACACCGAUGGCGAAGGCAGCCUUCUGGGCCAACACUGACGCUCAUGCACGAAAGCGUGGGGAGCAAACAGG